rnacentral:rRNA from 1 species
AUUGAACGCUGGCGGCAUGCCUUACACAUGCAAGUCGAACGGCAGCACGGGAGCAAUCCUGGUGGCGAGUGGCGAACGGGUGAGUAAUAUAUCGGAACGUGCUCGGUCGUGGGGAUAACGUAGCGAAAGCUACGCUAAUACCGCAUACGAUCUACGGAUGAAAGCGGGGGAUCGCAAGACCUCGCGCGAUUGGAGCGGCCGAUAUCAGAUUAGGUAGUUGGUGAGGUAAAGGCUCACCAAGCCGACGAUCUGUAGCUGGUCUGAGAGGACGACCAGCCACACUGGGACUGAGACACGGCCCAGACUCCUACGGGAGGCAGCAGUGGGGAAUUUGGACAAUGGGCGCAAGCCUCGAUCCAGCAAUGCCGCGUGCAGGAUGAAGGCC